GGUCUCGUAGUACAACGGAUAGUAUACAGGUUUCCGGAGCCUGGGAUCUAGGUUCGAUUCCUAGCGAGACCACCG
rnacentral:tRNA from 1 species